CGUAUCACUUAAAGCGAUUCAGCGGGUUACGAUUGACGGAGCGAAGCGACGUCAAAGCGUAUACAAAGUCGAGUCGGUUUAAGGAUACGUUCGUUGGGUAGGGGAGCGUUCUGUAAGCCUGUGAAGGUGUGCUGUGAGGCAUGCUGGAGGUAUCAGAAGUGCGAAUGCUGACAUAAGUAACGAUAAAGCGGGUGAAAAGCCCGCUCGCCGGAAGACCAAGGGUUCCUGUCCAACGUUAAUCGGGGCAGGGUGAGUCGACCCCUAAGGCGAGGCCGAAAGGCGUAGUCGAUGGGAAACGGGUUAAUAUUCCCGUACUUGGUGUUACUGCGAAGGGGGGACGGAGAAGGCUAUGUUGGCCGGGCGACGGUUGUCCCGGUUUAAGCGUGUAGGUGUGUGUUCCAGGUAAAUCCGGUUCACUUUAACACUGAGGCGUGACGACGAGGCACUACGGUGCUGAAGCAACAAAUGCCCUGCUUCCAGGAAAAGCCUCUAAGCAUCAGGUAACAUCAAAUCGUACCCCAAACCGACACAGGUGGUCAGGUAGAGAAUACCAAGGCGCUUGAGAGAACUCGGGUGAAGGAACUAGGCAAAAUGGUGCCGUAACU
rnacentral:rRNA from 1 species